rnacentral:rRNA from 1 species
GAAGUUAGCGGCGGACGGGUGAGUAACACGUGGGUAACCUGCCCAUAAGACUGGGAUAACUCCGGGAAACCGGGGCUAAUACCGGAUAACAUUUUGAACUGCAUGGUUCGAAAUUGAAAGGCGGCUUCGGCUGUCACUUAUGGAUGGACCCGCGUCGCAUUAGCUAGUUGGUGAGGUAACGGCUCACCAAGGCAACGAUGCGUAGCCGACCUGAGAGGGUGAUCGGCCACACUGGGACUGAGACACGGCCCAGACUCCUACGGGAGGCAGCAGUAGGGAAUCUUCCGCAAUGGACGAAAGUCUGACGGAGCAACGCCGCGUGAGUGAUGAAGGCUUUCGGGUCGUAAAACUCUGUUGUUAGGGAAGAACAAGUGCUAGUUGAAUAAGCUGGCACCUUGACGGUACCUAACCAGAAAGCCACGGCUAACUACGUGCCAGCAGCCGCGGUAAUACGUAGGUGGCAAGCGUUAUCCGGAAUUAUUGGGCGUAAAGCGCGCGCAGGUGGUUUCUUAAGUCUGAUGUGAAAGCCCACGGCUCAACCGUGGAGGGUCAUUGGAAACUGGGAGACUUGAGUGCAGAAGAGGAAAGUGGAAUUCCAUGUGUAGCGGUGAAAUGCGUAGAGAUAUGGAGGAACACCAGUGGCGAAGGCGACUUUCUGGUCUGUAACUGACACUGAGGCGCGAAAGC